GCCCGGAUGGCGGAAUUGGUAGACGCAGUGGAUUCAAAAUCCACCGAUAGAAAUAUUGUGCCGGUUCGAGUCCGGCUCCGGGUACCA
rnacentral:tRNA from 2 species